GGUAUGUGUGACCAUGUAU
rnacentral:siRNA from 1 species